rnacentral:rRNA from 1 species
GAUGAACGCUGGCGGCGUGCCUAACACAUGCAAGUCGAGCGGACGGACGAGAAGCUUGUUUUUUUGAUGUUAGCGGCGGGCGGGCGAGUAACGCGUGGAUCACCUACUUAUCUGUCGGGGAUAAUUUCGGGAAACCGGUGAUUAUACUAGAUAAUAUUUUGAACCGCAUGGUUCAUAGGUGAAUGACGGUCUUGCGGUUUCUUAUAGAUGGAUCCGAGCUGCAUUAGCUAGUUGGUGAGGUCACGGCUUUCCACGGCUACGAUGCAUAGCCGAACUGAGAGGGUGGUCGGCCACACGGGAGCUGAGACACGGACCAGACUCCUACGGGAGGCAGCAGUAGGGAAUCUUGGGCAAUGGGCGAAAGCCUGACGCAGCAAGACGACGUGAGUGAUGAAGGCCUUCGGAUCGUGAAGCUCGGUUGUUGGGGAAGAACAGCUGUGUCAUUAAACGUGCACAUAGUGACGGUAACUAAUCAAGAAGCAACGGCUAACUACGUG